rnacentral:lncRNA from 1 species
ACCUAAAAAUCUGCAAAAUUACAUUGACCCCUGAAAUAUGGUAAUUUCCAUUGUAGUUGUAUAUUACCUGAAUGAUAUCAAAAAAUUAUAAUAAUUCUGCUUCCGUGCUUUUUUUCCAGUUUCAAGCAGCCAGAGGAGCAUGCCAUACAAAAUCUCAGUCUAAUAUUCACAAUGAAUAAUGGAAGCUCUUUUGACUUUUGAUUAACCUUCAGAAAGCCAAAAGUAUAACUCAUCCCUUCCCCAUUGGUUUCAUUCGGAAAAAAUGACACAGGAUAUAGUCGAGCCUCAGAAUAAAACACAUAAAGAACUGUCAUUGCACUCAUCUAAGGGCUGUAAAAGCAACCGGUAGGAACUUAGCCUAGUUCAGUUGGGCGGGAGAGUGGAUAUGUACAUGCCCACUGCCCACCAGGCCUGCCCAACGACCAGAUUCAAAUCCUCUUCAAAUUGAAUUUGGGUACCUACUGUUCCAGUUAAUUAUAUUGACAUCUAGUUCCUCCUAGGUAUCAUUCAUUGUAUAGGCAACUGGCAUUCGUAACCACUAUAUAUAAUCAGCAAAAAAAAAAGGAAAACAUGUUAUGGUUUUAAAUACUACUACCAGCUACCAUAAAUAUGGCACAAAGCAUGUAUACACACAGGUUUACACAAAAAUUUACCUAAACAAACAAGAGCUUUCAUGUGUAACGAUUACACAAACUGAGCUUCACUAAAAAGGCAUUGUAGGCAGAACCUUCACCCUGAACCAGGGUUAUCAACAAUGUUGUUACUCAAGGCUAAAUUUU